rnacentral:rRNA from 1 species
GACGAACGCUGGCGGCGCGCCUAACACAUGCAAGUCGAACGGAGCUGAGAGAAGCUUGCUUUUCUUAGCUUAGUGGCGAACGGGUGAGUAACGCGUGAGUAACCUGCCCUGGAGUGGGGGACAACAGUUGGAAACGACUGCUAAUACCGCAUAAGCCCACGAUCCGGCAUCGGAUUGAGGGAAAAGGAUUUAUUCGCUUCAGGAUGGACUCGCGUCCAAUUAGCUAGUUGGUGAGGUAACGGCCCACCAAGGCGACGAUUGGUAGCCGGACUGAGAGGUUGAACGGCCACAUUGGGACUGAGACACGGCCCAGACUCCUACGGGAGGCAGCAGUGGGGGAUAUUGCACAAUGGGGGAAACCCUGAAGCAGCGACGCCGCGUGGAGGAAGAAGGUUUUCGGAUUGUAAACUCCUGUCGUUAGGGACGAUAAUGACGGUACCUAACAAGAAAGCACCGGCUAACUACGUG